UUUUAUUAUAAUUUUUAAGAUCAUCGAUGACGAAUUUUAUGACAAUAAGAAGAAUGCUAUAGUGAAAAAAUAACAUAUUUACUCAUGUACGGACGAACAGCAAUGAUCGAUAGAACGAACGUUUGAAAACUUCGUCGACGGUAAUCGAAGGUAAAAACAGCUGUUCGUAAAUACGUCAAUGCAAACGUAUUCUCUCGAUUCGUUGAUAAUCUCUAUUCGGCGACAAAAAAAAGACCGUGCAAAGUUCUUCGUCUGACUCCCCGAGUGUAUGUACAUAUAUACACACGUAUUUCAUUUACAUAAUUCAAAAGGACUCCUUUUAAGAAGCAGCCAGAUGGUAAAUACACUCGUAUGGAUAUGAAUCCAAUUAGUUAUUUGAUCGUCAGCUUUUCGCCAAGCAUCUGUCUGUACAAUUGAUAAGAAACGACGAUGAUCGACGAGACGUUUUCUUUAAGAAUAUUUCAAGAGAAUUUCAUCGUUCUGACUAUGACGAUGACGAUGAUGACGACGACGACGACGACG